UACGUAGGGUGCAAGCGUUGUCCGGAAUUAUUGGGCGUAAAGAGCUCGUAGGCGGUCUGUCGCGUCGGAUGUGAAAACUCGGGGCUCAACCCCGGGCCUGCAUUCGAUACGGGCAGACUAGAGUACGGCAGGGGAGACUGGAAUUCCUGGUGUAGCGGUGAAAUGCGCAGAUAUCAGGAGGAACACCGGUGGCGAAGGCGGGUCACUGGGCCGCAACUGACGCUGAGGAGCGAAAGCAUGGGGAGCGAACAGG
rnacentral:rRNA from 1 species